AAACCAACAGGGAUUGCCUCAGUAACGGCGAGUGAAGCGGCAAAAGCUCAAAUUUGAAAUCUGGUACCUUUGGUGCCCGAGUUGUAAUUUGAAGAUAGUUUUCUGGUAUUGGGCCCUUGUCUAUGUUCCUUGGAACAGGACGUCAUAGAGGGUGAGAAUCCCGUCUGGCGGGGCGCCCUUUGCUAUGUAGAUUUCUAUCGACGAGUCGAGUUGUUUGGGAAUGCAGCUCUAAGUGGGUGGUAAAUUCCAUCUAAAGCUAAAUAUUGGCGAGAGACCGAUAGCGAACAAGUACAGUGAUGGAAAGAUGAAAAGAACUUUGAAAAGAGAGUGAAAAAGUACGUGAAAUUGUUGAAAGGGAAGGAUAUUGGAUCAGACUUGGUGUUGCAUGAUUAUCUUCCCCUCGUGGGUUGUGCACUCGUGCUUCACUGGGCCAGCAUCGGUUCGGACGGCAAGAUAAUGACAUUGGAACGUGGCUCUUUCUUCGGUUAGAGUGUUAUAGCCCUUGUUGAUGUUGCCUGUCUGGACCGAGGACUGCGGCUUCUGCCUAGGAUGCUGGCGUAAUGAUUCAAUAUCGC
rnacentral:rRNA from 1 species